UACGUAGGAGGCAAGCGUUGUCCGGAAUCACUGGGCGUAAAGAGCGUGUAGGCGGUCUGCCAAGUCGGAUGUGAAAUCCCUCGGCUUAACCAAGGAAGUGCAUCCGAAACUGCUGUACUUGAGUACGAAAGAGGAUCGCGGAAUUCCCGGUGUAGAGGUGAAAUUCGUAGAUAUCGGGAGGAACACCAGUGGCGAAGGCGGCGAUCUGGGUCGAUACUGACGCUGAGGUGCGAAAGCGUGGGGAGCAAACAGG
rnacentral:rRNA from 1 species